AUGAUUGACCUAAAUGAGGAACCAAAUGAUAUGGAUAUUGGUGAUCCAGUGAACUCUACACAACAGGCUGCUCAAAAUCCUGAGUUAACCGGUGAUUCUCCUACUCCUCAUAUAGUGCAAAAUGCCACAGCUCCUGUGGCAAAAACAGUGGAGACAGAUGAGCAAGCACCUGUAGCACAAGAAUCUGAGACUGAUGGCCAUACCCUUGAUGGCACGGAUGCCGCGGGUGAUACAAGUGUGACUGUUGGUAAUGGUUUGACAGGCUUUGGUGCUGAAAAUGAUGAAGAGGCUUGGUCACAACCGAAGGAGCCUCAUGUGGGCAUGAGGUUUGACACUUUGGAAGGCGCAAAAGAGCACUACAAUGCAUAUGCCUUGCAGAUUGGUUUUUCAAUCAAAAUGAAUACUUCAAGGAAGGCUGUGAAAACUGGAGUGUUGAUAAAACAACAGUUUGUUUGCAACAAGUUUCGAAAGCCUGAAGCUGAUGACGGAGGGGCAGAAAAAAUUCUUGUGCUGGAUGAUAUCGUUGAGCAAACAAAAGAUGAUGAUGAAGACGAGGAUAUUGUAUUUCUUGAUGAUGAUAAUAAAACCAAAAAGAGGAGCAAGAAGCGGAAGAGAGAUAAAAUAGUGCAAACUGGUUGCAAAGCUAAGAUGGUUGUCAAACUGAUAGAUGGCAGAUGGGAAGUGAUAUAUUUUGUUGGCGAGCACAACCAUCCACUAGUUGACAAACCAAGUUUGACUAAGUACUUGAGAUCGCACCAAGGUAUCCCACCAGAAGAAAAGGCAUUCCUUACCCACCUACAUAACUGCAACUUGACAACAGUAUUAUUUGCCUGCUCUUGA
rnacentral:rRNA from 1 species